rnacentral:lncRNA from 10 species
AGCAACAAGGCUGUUUAUUCACUUGGGUGCAAGUGGGCUGAGUCAGAGAAAGGAGUCAGCGAAGGGUGGUGGGAGUGGAACUGGUUCUAUAGGUUUGGGGUAGGUAGUGGAAAGUUACAGUUAGGGGCAGUUUUUUUGGGCAGGGGAAGAAUGUUACAAGGUGCAUAGUCACAAGGUGGGGGAAGUCAUAAGGCACGAUAUCACAAGGUGGAUGGAUUAGUUGGGGAAGGGCAGGAACAUAUCACAAGGUGGAUGGAUUAAUUAGGGUAGGGAAGGAACAUAUCACAAGGUGGAUGGAUUAGUUAGGGUAGGGCAGGAACAUGUCACAGUGGUGGAUGGAUUAGUUGGGGAAGGGCAGGAACAUAUCACAAGGUGGAUGGAUUAGUUAGGGUAGGGAAGGAACAUAUCACAAGGUGGAUGGAUUAGUUAGGGUAGGGCAGGAACAUGUCACAGUGGUGGAUGGAUUAGUUAGGGUAGGGCAGGAACAUGUCACAAGGUGGAUGGAUUAGUUAGGGUAGGGCAGGAACAUGUCACAAGGUGGAUGGAUUAGUUGGGGAAGGGCAGGAACAAUCACAAGGUGGAUGGAUUAGUUGGGGAAGGGCAGGAACAUAUCACAAGGUGGAUGGAUUAGUUGGGGAAGGGCAGGAACAUGUCACAAUGGUGGAUGGAUUAGUUGGGGAAGGGCAGGAACAUGUCACAAUGGUGGAUGGAUUAGUUGGGGAAGGGCAGGAACAUAUCACAAGGUGGAUGGAUUAGUUAGGGUAGGGCAGGAACAUGUCACAGUGGUGGAUGGAUUAGUUGAGGAAGGGCAGGAACAUGCCACAAGGUGGAUGGAUUAGUUGGGGAAGGGCAGGAACAUGUCACAAUGGUGGAUGGAUUAGUUGGGGAAGGGCAGGAACAUGUCACAAUGGUGGAUGGAUUAGUUGGGGAAGGGCAGGAACAUAUCACAAGGUGGAUGGAUUAGUUGGGGAAGGGCAGGAACAUAUCACAAGGUGGAUGGAUUAGUUGGGGAAGGGCAGGAACAUAUCACAAGGUGGACUGUUGCAAGGUCGGUUAAUCAUUAAGGCAGGAACUAGCUGUUCCGUCUUCUUUAGUGGUUCUCCUGUUGCUCCAGGCUUUGUGACUCCAGGAGGCCUGUAACGUGUGGGUCACAGGGGUCACAAUGGCUCGACCAUGGGG